UAGUGGCGCACGGGUGCGUAUCACGUAACUAACCUACCUAUAACUGGGGGAUAGCCCGCCGAAAGGCGGAUUAAUACCGCAUAAGCUGCUGAAGUGGCAUCACUUUAAUAGUAAAGAUUUAUUGGUUAUAGAUGGGGUUGCGGGUCAUUAGCUAGUUGGUAAGGUAACGGCUUACCAAGGCGACGAUGACUAGGGGAGCUGAGAGGCUGGUCCCCCACACGGGCACUGAGAUACGGGCCCGACUCCUACGGGAGGCAGCAGUAGGGAAUAUUGGGCAAUGGGCGAGAGCCUGACCCAGCCAUGCCGCGUGCAGGAAGAAGGCUUUCUGAGUCGUAAACUGCUUUUGACAGGGAAGAAUAAGCACUACGUGUAGUGCGAUGACGGUACCUGCAGAAUAAGCACCGGCUAACUCCGUGCCAGCAGCCGCGGUAAUACGGAGGGUGCGAGCGUUGUCCGGAUUUAUUGGGUUUAAAGGGUGCGUAGGCGGCCGUUUAAGUCUGGGGUGAAAGCCCGCUGCUCAACAGCGGAACUGCCCUGGAUACUGGAUGGCUUGAGUACAGACGAGGUUGGCGGAAUGGACUGAGUAGCGGUGAAAUGCAUAGAUACAGUCCAGAACCCCGAUUGCGAAG
rnacentral:rRNA from 1 species